rnacentral:misc_RNA from 1 species
AAGUCGUAACAAGGUUUCCGUAGGUGAACCUGCGGAAGGAUCAUUAACACGUAUCCAAACGUUAAACAACCCCGUGAACAUACAACCUGCUCUGGUCGCCCGCUCGCAUGGACAAGCCCAGUAAAUCAAGCCCCGGAAAGUUUUUGAUUUGGGACCUCUGUGCGCGUGAGAAAAACUGACAGCGAUUCAUAGAAGCGGUAGGUCAAGUGACACGGCGUCCCCAAGUGACCAGUGAAUGAAAGUGUCAGCUCUCUGUCAGCUGAACGAAUCCAGACUGCUUUCGAACUAAGCUUCUUGCCUGUAAGCAUCCAUACGGAUGGGCAGGCCCCCCGAACAACUGUUAACAAUGGAUAUCUUGGUUCUC